AGCAGCCGCGGUAAUUCCAGCUCCAAUAGCGUAUAUUAAAGUUGUUGCAGUUAAAAAGCUCGUAGUUGAAUUUCGGGAUUCGUCCAUUGGUCAGGCUUAACUGUCUGCACUGAUGUGUCGGAUUUCUACCUUCUGAAGAACCUUCAUGCCAUUAAUUUGGUGUGUUGGGGAAUCAGGACUGUUACUUUGAAAAAAUUAGAGUGUUUAAAGCAGGCUAACGUCUGAAUACAUUAGCAUGGAAUAAUGAAAUAGGACGGUACGGUUCUAUUUUGUUGGUUUCUAGGAUCGCCGUAAUGAUUAAUAGGGAUAGUUGGGGGCAUUAGUAUUCAAUUGUCAGAGGUGAAAUUCUUGGAUUUAUUGAAGACUAACUACUGCGAAAGCAUUUGCCAAGGAUGUUUUCAUUAAUCAAGAACGAAAGUUAGGGGAUCGAAGACGAUCAGAUACCGUCGUAGUCUUAACCAUAAACUAUGCCGACUAGGGAUUGGACGAUGUUAAUUUUUUAAUGACUCG
rnacentral:rRNA from 1 species